ensembl:lncRNA
AUGAAUACCUUUGCAAGGCACUGUACCACGACUUUGAAAUGCCAUUGUCAUCACUAUACAGAAUCUACUGUUGUUGAGCUUUCAUUGUCUCUUACUGCAACUGAUGUUUCUCCUCUCCUCCUGUCUCUUCUCCCAAUGUGUUGCUCCUCCUCCUUCCUGGUUGAAGGAAUAUCCGAAGAGGAAGAUCUGGUGGAGGAUAAGAUGUCUGUCCGUCUGUCUGUCUUUGUCUGUCUGUUCCUGUCUUUCUCUCACUCUGUGAUGUUUCCAAGUCGGAGAAGAGGGAAAAAGAACAAGUCUUCCACUCCUGUCCCGAACCUCUCCAGACCUCUUCUGUUAACAUCUCCUCUCCUGUCCACAUCCUGUCUCUCCACCUGUCUAUCUCCAGCCCCUCCUGGACAGUGUAGCACCUCCCACAUUGCAUACCAGCCAAUUAUAUUAUCCAAUCAGGAUAAAGUCUUUGCCACGGACAAAAUGAGAAGGUUGUUGUUGGUCCCUAGAGGGGCGUCAGGGUCUUCCUGCUUUCCAGCGACUAAGUAUUAUGCACUUCGGUGUCUGCGUACUGUAGUUCCCUUUCCUUCCGCUUACGACAGUCCCAUGAAGAACAUGUCAACAGUGGACAAAUUCAGUAUGAGACAUGUCUUUCCAAUGCUUGUCUGGAAACACACUUCUGGCCGCUGUUUGAGAAUGCUGGACUGGCCCAGACCUGCCAUCUGAAAAACGAUUUAAAUCAUAAGAUGUUGUCAAAGAAACACAUAAAAACAAACAUUGAUCAAAGACUCAAGUGGCCAUUGGAUCAGUUGAACUGCCCCUUUCAGAGAGUCCUUGUCUGGUGACUGGAUGACAACCCAGAUUCAGACAUGAUCUAGUUACAACAACACGGAUGUGAUCCAAGAAGAGUCCUGUAUGGGACAUGUUGUGUACAGGCCAUUUCCAAAGAAAGAAGAGCAACUUAUUGUGAGAAUGACUAUGAAACAAAAGCAGUAGACCGUUCAAAACAUCAUGGACUGAUGUAGGGUUUAUGUAGAUUGUUCAUUCUUUGUUCCUGUCUGUUGAGAUGUAGGAAGGGGGAGACCCUAUGGUUUUGGGAUCAUAUUUAAAAUGCAGCAGAGACCGUAACUCAGUGUUUUCAACCGUAGAUCUACCAACACAACAUUCCACAUAGUGUUAGUUAACAGAGACUGUCUGUAUGUGUCUGUAUUCUAUUCGCCACCUUCUUGAGGCCCAAAGUGUGUAUGGUAAAGGAGGUUGAAACUCUGUGUGUGUGUGUGUGUGUGUGUGUGUGUGUGUGUGUGUGUGUGUGUGUGUGUGUGUGUGUGUGUGUGUGUGUGUGUGUGUGUGUGUGUGUGUGUGUGUGUGUGUGUGUGUGUGUGUGUGUGUGUGUGUGUGUGUGUGAGCAUGUGUGUGUGUAGGGUACCAAAAUUCCGGUAACUUUCCCAAUAUUUCCAAGUUUUCCUGAAAUCCUGGUUGGAAGAUUCCUGGAAUUGUGAAGGAAUAAGCAAGGAAAUAUGGAAUCCUCCAAACAGGAUUCCUGGAAAACCAGAGAAUGUUGAGAAAGUUACUAAAAUUAGUGUGUGUGUGUGUGCGUGCGUGCGUGUGCACAUGUGUGCAUGUGUGUGCGUGUGAGAGAGAGAUUGAGUGAGGAAGAGAGCAGGUGAAUGAGAAAAGUACUUGUCGUGUUUGGGACAGUUAUGCCCUUGUUCACCGUGACACUCCUGCCAACAACACUGGUAGAUAGUUUAUAGAUUUUUAAUUCUAGAAAAGGUUAUCUUUCUGUUGCCUGGCUUUGUGCUCGGGAGCCAAUGACAGCACACUAACAAACAAAUGGUUUGUAUUGAAUAUGUAACAACAAACUUAAACGAGCACUAGCCUACAGAAUGUGAGAACACAUAUGCACAUCUAUUUGUAUAUACAGUAUGUACAAGAAGAUAAUACUGAAUGUUGAAUACACUGUAGGAAAUUGUUUUAAAAUUCAAUGUUGAUAUUGAUUCAUUUGAUCUGUUUCAACUAAGUAUCUAUCUGUCUCCUGCCAUACAACUGUCCAUCUCCUUUAAGCCAUUCCUAGCUGUCCAUCUAUCUGUCUAGCAGGCACACUGCCUAGUAAGUUAGCAAUCUGGCCAUCUAUCUAUCAUUGCAGCUGUCAAUCUAAAUGCCAUCUAAAUAUUGGACACUUGUUGAUAGGCUUUGAGCCUUACGCUGAUGAUGCUUUAACACAGUGAGUUUGAAUUGACCCCAGGACAGCUCCUCAGUGGAAAUGUGAUGAGAUGAGGUGCAUUACUAUUGACCAGGGCCCUUAGUGCUCUGCUGGGGUCUGGUACACUAGAUGUAUGGAGAGGUCUGUUUGAUUCAGCACUAUGGCUGAUGCACUAUAGUUCUUCACCAUUUGUACAGAAUAUGUACCAUCUUUAGAUGGUGGCCAGUUUGCUUGCUUUUUGAAUUUAGGAAGCAGAGAAAAAGAAACGCGUUAUAUCCCAUAUUUUUAAACACUAUCUUUUUAUUAAGUAGACAAAUUGAAAUAAGCAAUGUAGAUGAAUUGAAAUGAAGGGGAAAUAAAAAUCUAAAAGUAAAAAGUAUAUCUUUCCUCUGGUUUCAUUGUGUGAAUAUAUCUGGGUUGCUAUGACAAUGGCGUCAUUACUUGAG